UUUCCUGGGCUCUGGUCUCCCUUGAGGUGCAUUUCCCUCUGUGUCCACAAGGCGGCGACAUUUCUCAGCCGUGCUCCUGCUUGGCUGGCCUGGCUCCCACUGGAAGGUCCCCUUGGGUGUUCAUGGCGAGGAGUUUGCAGUCUGUUCACAGGCUCUGUUCUUGGCAGCUUCCUUGCCAGGAGUAGAGAGAGGCAGGAGACAAGUUGACUGGUUAGAGCACCAGGCUUGCAGAGCAUGUGCAUCACUCUGGACCAUGUGGUGCCUGGCGUGGAACUCGGGUCUCCUGCUAGAGGGCCCGGCACUGUAGCCGCUGUGCCACCUCCUGAGCCCCGUGGCCGUGAGGCGUCCGAGCGCACGGUUUGCACGGACAUUGUGCAGCUCUCAGCUGGGCCUCACGGGGGAGUGAUUAAGGUUUGCAAAGACCUUCAAACGAGUGCGCUGGAUAGAUUUCACCUGGGGGAGAAGCCCUGCUGACCAGAGGGGAAGGAGGAGAAAACACCUAGGAGACGCCGGGACGGGACAGACAGACAGAAGACGGUGGAGGAAGAGGGGACCGGCAUCUCCGCUUAGGACAACACAGUAGGUGCUGUUUCCUGCAUCUUUGAAAUCUUUUGUAGAAAAACAGAGAUGGUGAAGCUGCCAUGGGGGAGGAGUGGGGGGGCUGUCAGCAGUCUCACAACGGCCUGGGCUUUCCACAGGGCAACCUUGGGCUCAGCUAGUCUGGAAUCUUUUGCCAUCACCCAGAAAACUCUGGGUCCCUGGGACACUUGACUGCAAUUUGCUCUUGGCCCAUCAUAUGCUCCUGAAUCCUUAAACCUUUCUCCUCAGAAAAGCUCUAAGAUCUGUCUCUCGGCUGCACUCAAGACCCAGGCGCCAGCUGCCGUGCCGGGUAGUCAGAGAGCCGGUGCCGAUCCCACAGGGCCCGGGACACAGGUCGAGCUUUAUCCCGGGACCUGCUUUCUGCCCUGUUCCAGCCUGUCCUUCCACCUCUGGGGCUGAAAACUAAAAUCAUUAAUCACUGUGGUUGUGUUCACGGCAGACUUUUUGUCCGAGAACUCAGGGAACAGCAGAGCUAGGAUUUUCCUCACUUUUAUUUUAUUUCUGCUUCCUGGUGUGUCACUCAGCCCCUGUCCCCUCCUGCCACUCUCAGCAGUCUGGAUGGCAGAGGAGGCUGGAGUCCAGCAGCAGAGGACAGAGGACGCCCUGCAGACUCCUGCAGUUUGUACUGGAAAGACAAAAACUCACCUCAGGGAAUCAGACCUGGAGAGGUUUCAUGGUUUGUGAGUUUCUCCUGUGGUUUAAGCAACAGGUUUCUAGGGGGCUCCCUCCUCCCAACCCCCUCCCCAUCUUUAUUUAAUGAGAGUUAAUGAAAAUAAAAC